rnacentral:rRNA from 1 species
UGCUUAGGGUACCUGCGGAAGGAUCAUUACCAAUGGGUUGGCGAGGCGCGCGAGGGAGAAAGCCCGCUCGAUCGGUCGAUUCCGCGCCCACACAAACGCGAAAGGGUGUCUAGCGACGCUCUUUUCGAGGGGAGCUUCGGCGGCUUGGCCGCCUGCUCACGAGCGAAAUCGUGCCUUCGGCGGGGCUCUUCCGCGCCGUUCUCUGCCUUCCACAACCUCCACCCUUGAUUACCGUAGCCCUGUUGCCUCGGCGGGUCCGCCCGCCAGAGGACGCAAUCCAAACCACUGUCGUAACGGCGGCGUCUGAGCUACAAUAGCAAUCGUUAAAACUUUCAACAACGGAUCUCUUGGUUCUGGCAUCGAUGAAGAACGCAGCGAAAUGCGAUAAGUAGUGUGAAUUGCAGAAUUCAGUGAAUCAUCGAAUCUUUGAACGCACAUUGCGCCCUUUGGCAUCCCGAAGGGCAUGCCUGUCCGAGCGUCAUUUCACCGAUCAAGCCUGGCUUGGUGUUGGGUGCCGUCCCGCCUCUCGCGCGCGGACGCUCCCCAAAAUCAUCGGCGGUGCAGCACCGGCCUCGAGCGCAGCAGACGUUCGCUCGGGCGCCCGGCGUUGCGGCGGCCGCGACGACAACCCCCCAAGGUUGACCUCGGAUCAGGUAGGGAUACCCGCUGAACUUAAGCAUAUCAA